rnacentral:rRNA from 1 species
ACUCCUACGGGAGGCAGCAGUGGGGAAUAUUGGACAAUGGGGGCAACCCUGAUCCAGCAAUGCCGCGUGAGUGAUGAAGGCCUUCGGGUUGUAAAGCUCUUUUGGCGGGGACGAUGAUGACGGUACCCGCAGAAUAAGCCCCGGCUAACUUCGUGCCAGCAGCCGCGGUAAUACGAAGGGGGCUAGCGUUGUUCGGAAUUACUGGGCGUAAAGGGCGCGUAGGCGGUCCUGAUCGUCGGAUGUGAAAGGCCUGGGCUCAACCUGGGAACUGCAUCCGAUACGGCGGGACUGGAGUGUGGGAGAGGUUGGUGGAAUUCCCAGUGUAGAGGUGAAAUUCGUAGAUAUUGGGAAGAACACCGGUGGCGAAGGCGGCCAACUGGACCACAACUGACGCUGAGGCGCGAAAGCGUGGGGAGCAAACAGGAUUAGAUACCCUGGUAGUCCACGCCGUAAACGAUGCGUGCUAGACGUUGGGCACCCUAGGUGUCCGGUGUCGUCGCUAACGCUUUAAGCACGCCGCCUGGGGAGUACGGCCGCAAGGUUAAAACUCAAAGGAAUUGACG